rnacentral:rRNA from 1 species
GGGGUGCUCGAGUGGCGAACGGGUGAGUAACACGUGAGUAACCUGCCCUUGACUUUGGGAUAACUUCAGGAAACUGGGGCUAAUACCGGAUAGGAGCUCCUGCUGCAUGGUGGGGGUUGGAAAAUUUCGGCGGUUGGGGAUGGACUCGCGGCUUAUCAGCUUGUUGGUGGGGUAGUGGCUUACCAAGGCUUUGACGGGUAGCCGGCCUGAGAGGGUGACCGGCCACAUUGGGACUGAGAUACGGCCCAG